GAUGAACGCUGGCGGCGUGCCUAACACAUGCAAGUCGAGCGAGAAACUCAUGAUCGAAACUUCGGUUGAUUGAUUGAGCGGAAAGCGGCGGACGGGUGAGUAACGCGUAGGCAACCUGCCCCUUGCAGAGGGAUAGCCUCGGGAAACCGGGAUUAAAACCUCAUAAUGCGUGACCGAGACAUCUCGGACACGCCAAAGAUUUAUCGGCAAGGGAUGGGCCUGCGUCUGAUUAGUUAGUUGGUGGGGUAACGGCCUACCAAGGCAGCGAUCAGUAGCCGACCUGAGAGGGUGAUCGGCCACAUUGGAACUGAGACACGGUCCAAACUCCUACGGGAGGCAGCAGUGGGGAAUAUUGCACAAUGGGCGAAAGCCUGAUGCAGCAACGCCGCGUGAAGGAUGAAGGCCCUUGGGUCGUAAACUUCUGUUCUAAGGGAAGAUAAUGACGGUACCUUAGGAGCAAGUCCCGGCUAACUACGUGCCAGCAGCCGCAGUAAUAC
rnacentral:rRNA from 1 species